AUACGGAAGGUCCGGGCGUUAUCCGGAUUUAUUGGGUUUAAAGGGAGCGCAGGCGGAGAUGCAAGCGUGACGUCAAAUUUCGGGGCUCAACCCCGUCUCGCGUCGCGAACUGCGUCCCUUGGUUGCGGGAAGGGGAGGCGGAACUCGUGGUGUAGCGGGGAAAUGCAUAGAUAUCACGAAGAACUCCGAUCGCGAAGGCAGCCUUCCGGCCCGUCAACGACGCUCAUGCUCGAAGGUGCGGGUAUCAAACAGGAUUAGAUACCCUGGUAGUCCGCACAGUAAACGAUGGACACCCGCGGUUUGGCCUGUAUGGCUGAGCCGCCAAGCGAAAGCGUUAAGUGUCCCACCUGGGGAGUACGCCGGCAACGGUGAAACUCAAAUGAAUUGACGGGG
rnacentral:rRNA from 1 species